GUGUUUGUGUGUGUAUUUUCUACAUGGUAUCAAGGAGAAGAUACAAUAAACCACAAUUAACAUAAAUCAAGGAAUGCAUGUGUUGAUCAAAGGUUGAAAUCAGUGAUUUCUAGUGUUAUCCUGCAAGAAUCCAUCAAGAUUCGGAUGGUAGAAUGGCAAAAGUGAUCAAGUCUUGGAAACGGGUCCGCGUAGGAGGAUUUAGUGAUGUUUUGUUCACUAAGUAUAUGAGUUUUCUUAUCGAGUCAAUUAGACUUAAUUAUUUGUAUUUUGGAGUUUAAGUCCAAUGUUUGUUUUAGCGAAAUGUUAGUAUGUCAUUGUGGUAA